UACGAACCGGACAAACGUUAUUCGGAAUCACUGGGCUUACAGGGUGCGUAGGCGGUCUGGAGGGUGGGGUGUGAAAUCCCUCGGCUCAACCGAGGAAUUGCGCUCCAAACCGGCAGACUUGAGGGAGACAGAGGUGUGCGGAACUGAUGGUGGAGCGGUGAAAUGCGUUGAUAUCAUCAGGAACACCAGUGGCGAAAGCGGCACACUGGGUCUCUACUGACGCUGAGGCACGAAAGCCAGGGGAGCGAACGGG
rnacentral:rRNA from 3 species